rnacentral:rRNA from 1 species
GAUGAACGCUGGCGGCGUGCCUAAUACAUGCAAGUCGAACGCAUUGUGGUUGAAAUGAUAUGAAGAACUUGUUCAGAUUUGAUUUUCAACAUUGCAAUGAGUGGCGAACGGGUGAGUAACACGUGGGAAACCUACCUCUUAGCAGGGGAUAACAUUUGGAAACAAAUGCUAAUACCGUAUAAUAAUUAAAACCGCAUGGUUUUAGUUUAAGAGAUGGUCUUGCUAUCACUAAGAGAUGGUCCCGCGGUGUAUUAGUUAGUUGGUGAGGUAAUGGCUCACCAAGACAAUGAUACAUAGCCGAGUUGAGAGACUGACCGGCCACAAUGGGACUGAGACACGGCCCAUACUCCUACGGGAGGCAGCAGUAGGGAAUCUUCCACAAUGGACGAAAGUCUGAUGGAGCAACGCCGCGUGUGUGAUGAAGGGUUUCGGCUCGUAAAACACUGUUGUAAGAGAAGAAUGACAUUGAGAGUAACUGUUCAAUGUGUGACGGUA